UGGCUCUGACCUCCCUGGAGCAUCUCUCAGCAGGAAUUCACCUCCCAAUGGUCAACCGCAAACCCCGAAAAAAUCCAUAAAAAACCAGGAAGCAACCAACCAACCCCUCCAGCGGCCCGGGAACAUCAACUCCCCGGGCUUGGCAGGGAAUGAAAGCAUUCCCUGCUCCCUGCCAGCGCCGGGCUGCGGGGCGCUGCUGCCGAGUGAAAUCCCAGCCCCGCUCCUGCCAUGCAUCGCUGAUGAGCCAAGAGCCCCGAGGAGCCGCAGCUUUCCCUCAUUCCCACUCUGGAGCCGCAUUCCCGCUUUUCCCUGUUCCCUGGCACAUCCCUGAAUAUAUAUUGACCUUAUUAGAGCAGCGGCUGCCAGCAGCGCCCAGGCCUCGUUUGCACAAAUUAAAGCUGUCAGCGGGUAAUUUAUGGAGCAGCGGGAACGCGGAGCGGCGCUCGGAGGGAACGGCCUGGGCUGGGGAGCAGGAUUUUUCCUCCGGAUUUCUUCCUCAGGAUUUUUCCUCCGGAUUUUCCCCUGGAUUUCUCCUCGGGGUUUUCAUCGGGCUCUCGGCAGCAGCGGGAUGUGCUGGCCUGUCAGGGAGAAGAUCACAGGAAUAUUUUGUUCAUUCCAAGAUCUCUCUCCGAGCGUUGGUGACGGGCAGAGCGCUCCCAUUUCCAAAGCACAGCCUGGCUGCCAGAUGGGAAAACCGACGGAGCCUCCAACAUUUAUCCGCGACUCCGCCGCUUUCCUGUGCCGGGAACUGCGGCGGAAGCGAGGAUUUUUCCGGGAUUGUGGAGCCAUCCAGGAUCUGUAAAUGCAGGAGCACCAGGAAUUCACCUGCCAAAUUCUGCUGGAAGCUGGAGUUUUGGAGGCAGGAAGGGCCUGGCAGAGGAGCUCAUCCACCACUUUUGGGAACUUUUGGAGACUUUGGAAAUCCUUUUAGUGCUGAGGGAGAAAGGAGAUGUGGGGGUGGAAAAAUUCCCGAUCCUAAAAAUGGCCGGGGUGAUUUGUUCCUGAGAGCUGGGCAGCUGGAGGCAGCUUUGGAUGGAAUCCUCCUCCCAGGCAAAGGGAAGCAGAGGAAAAGACUCUCCAAGGAGAAAAAUCUUUAAUGAGCUGCGAAGCCUUGAUCACCCACGGAGAGCCGAGAUUAAUUAGGAGCUGCUGAAAGCCGAGCUCAAUUAGGAGCUUAAGCCGCUCCCGAGGUGUGCGCCGGGAUUGCCGCUGGAUUCCCUCCCGUGGAUUCCCCGGGAUGGAGAAGGAGGCUGUGCCCACCAAAACCUGGCCCAGCCCCUCCAGGUGUCCCAGCUCCUCCAGGUAUUCCGUGUCCCUUUGGAAUGUGGUGCCCGGGUGACCGGGAAUGAGGCUGGGGAAGGGGAAUGCUCUGGAGGAGAGCCUGCCUUGGAUUCCCUGCUGGAUUUCCACGUUUCCAGCGUUCUCAGGGCUUCCCUGCCUGUCCGAGCCCACCCUGGCUCCAUCCCCAGCAUCAUCCCAGGUCCCGGGGUGAGAUUCCGGUGCCUGUGAGGGCUCCAUCAGGAUCUGGGAUCCCUGGGAGGGAGGAGCAGAGCCUGGAUGUCCCUGUGGAUCCAUGGGCUCCUCCCAGGUUCCCUCAGUGGUGGAGGGAUGGGUUUGGGUGGCCACAACAUCCCAGACCACAAAUUCCCUGUUCUUUGAAGGGAAUUACGGAAUCCUGGAAUGGUUUGGGUGGGAAGGGAUCUCAAAGCCGGUCUGGUGUCCUCCCUGCCAUGGCAGGGACACAUCCCACUGUCCCAGGCUGCUCCAAGCCCCAUCCAGCUCGGCCUUGGAUGCUUCCAGAGAUCCAGAGGCAGCCACAGCUUCUCUGGGAAUUCCAUCCCAGGCCCUGCCACCCUCCCAGGGAACAAUCCCUUCCCAAUCUCCCCUCCAUCGCUGCCCUCUGGCAGUGGGAGCCAUUCCCUGUGUCCUGUCCCUCCAUCCCUUGUCCCCAAUCCCUCUCCAGCUCUCCUGGAGCCCCUUCAGGCCCUGGAAGGGGCUCUGAGCUCUCCUGGAUCAUUCCCUUUUCCAGAGCCUGUCCACCCUUGCAGGGAGGAAUUCCUUCCCUAUUUCCAGCCUAAACUUCCCCUCUUUCACUCUGAACCCACUCCAGCUCCCAAGGAAACUUCCAGGAUGUUUCCCAAGCCCUCCCCGUUCCCAGAUCUCCCCCACGUGCGCAACCUAAUAACGAGCACUCACCAAACAUCCUAAACCCGGGAAAUUUAUGGAGCAUGACCCAAAUUGAAUUCUCCAUUACAGCAGGAUAAUUGAUUUUUUAGAAGAGAGAUUAAAUUUAUUUUCCGCCUCACUAACGAACAGCCAGAUUUCCCUUAAUUGCUUGGAAUGCAGAGUUGGGAUGAUUCAUUAAAGCCGGAACAUGCCUGGGUACAUUACACUGUGACUAAAGCUUCCCUGCUUGGAGCAAUUAAAGUGGAGAAAUUUGGGAUCUCGCAAGGAGCUGAAUAAAAAUUCCAGCUCGGGAUGUCUUAUUAAUCUCCUCAAGGAAAAACUCACAAAUUCCCCCCGUUCUCCACGAAAUGAUUUGGUGAUUUUUAUUUUUUUUCCCCCUGCCUGGCGUUGUUUUCUCCCCGUGCCAGCCCUAAAAAGAAGUGGUGUCUACGAGACAGAUUUCGUGCCUCGCUUCACAGUUUAAUUUUAUCAAUCACAACAUUUAGAACCCAAAUUGACAGCAGCGAGGAGACAUCCCCGGAUUCCAAGGGGAGGCAUUUUGGGCGGAAUCUCGGAACAUUUGGUAAUUAUAGACACAUUGCAAAAAUAAAGGUAGCGAUUGAGGAAAACAGGAGUGGAGAGGGAGGAGGCUGGGAGCUGGCAGGGAUAAAUGAGGAUUGUUUGGCACAUUUGAAUCCAAUCCCACCCAGGCACCGAGGGCUCGCGGAAAAAGCGGAGAUGGAUGCGGAGCCCAGGCUGGGAUGGACAAGAAGAGGGAACUUGGAAUCUUGGAAAACCAUUGGAAUGCUCAUUGCUGGCAUCACCUCAUGGCAGGGUUGUAAUCCCCUCUGCCAGGGGGCAGGGCUAGGGGGGAUAUUGGGAAUAUUCCCUGGCACAGAGACGCUGUGGUUGCCCCUGGAAUGUCCAAGGCCGGGUUGGAUGAGGCUUGGAGCAGCCUGGGAUAGUGGGAGCUGUCCCUGUCCAUGGAAUGGGGUGGAAUGGAUGAGCUCUAAGGUUCUUUCCAACCCAAACCAUUCCAGAAUUCCACAAUUCAUCCAAACUGGGGAGGUCUGGAACUGGGAAGGACCCAUGGAUGGCGCAGGAUCUGCAGUGCCCAUGGAUGGAGGGAGAGAUCCCGGGAUGUAAGCCGUUGGAUGGAGGAUUGUGGGGUUUUAAACAAACCUUUCAUGAGUGGGAUGUGCAGCCCUAACGGGAAUGAAGCACUGAUGUUUUGUCUCUGAAAAAUGGGAUAUUCCUUCCCCAUCCCCAUCCCAGCCAGCUCCAUCCUUCCCUGCUUCCCUUGGAUGUCCUAAAAGCUCCUGUGCUGCAGGAUUCCUGGUCCAGGAGGGAAUAAACCACUCCAGGAGGAGCUGCAGUGGGAUGACAGCAAUUCCUGCGUGCCAUCCUGAUCCCAGGCUUUUCCUUUUUUGUUUUUUUGGGGUUUUGGGUUUUUUUCCCCCAGGAGAUGAAGGGAUGCGUUGGAGAACGGAGCUGCCCUUUGUGUCCCUGCCUCCACAUCCCUCCAGCCCUUCCCGGGAAUGGGGAGAUCAUUAAGGAAUAACGGAUGGCUCCACCCCGCUCACGGUGCUGGGGAGCCUAAUUAGAGAUAACGAGAGAGGGAAGCUGCAGGGCUGCAGUAUGCAGAGGCCACAAAGUCAUUAAUUAUGCUAAUUAGGGGUGACUUUUGUCACCACAGAAGGAGCUCCCGCCCCAGCUUGGGGUGGGCUCACACCCAAAUCCUUCCCCAUCCCUAAAGAUUCCUCGUCCCCAUGUUUGCUUUGGGAUGGGUUUGGGGGAUUCUGGAGGAUCCCAGGGGAGCUCCUGGAGGGGAUGGAGCUGCAGAGAAUCGCAGGAGGAGGGGUGGGAGCAGCUGGAUGGGGUCUCUACUCCCACCCACUGGAGCAGGGAAUGCAGGAUCUUGGAUAUGGAGUGGGGCUCUCCAAGGAGAGUUCAAAUCCUCCUCAUCCCCAUCCCUGGAAAUGCUUCCAUCCCUGGAAGUGUCCAAGGCCAGGCUGGACAGGGCUUGGAGCAGCCUGGGAUGGUGGAAGUUGUCCCUGCCCAUGGAGGGGUGGGAUGGGAUGGGCUUUAAGGAUUCUGUGACUCAAGAACAUUCCCAAAAUCCCAGCAGAACCCUCAUAGUGCCAACAGCUCUGCUCCAGGGGGGUUUUGGGCAGCUGGAGUGGGAAAAUGCCCGAGGGGUGGCCAUGGCACCAAGCUGUGCCUUUCUCCAGCCAUCCCAUCCCAUCCCAUCCCAUCCCAUCCCAUCCCAUCCCAUCCCAUCCCAUCCCAUCCCAUGGAUCCCAUCCCAUCCCAUCCCACCCCACGCCACAAGAGCUCAUCGGCGCUGAAGGAAGCGGCAGCGGAGCCGCGCUGCUCCGUGGAGUGUGGAUAAUGAAAAUCCCAGGCCACGAGGCAUCCACGGAUAAUAAAAGGAGACUCCCGAAACACUUCCGAGCACGAACCAUCUGCUCGGCUGCGCCGGCCUAACAGCUCCGACUAAUUUUUAAUGCCGGUUUUAUGACGGAUCCGCGCAUCAGCCCAUCCAUGCAUAAGGAAAUGCGGGCUGGCUGCGCCGUGCGCGGAGCUGCCUGGCGAGGAAUUUGUCUCCCGUUUUAACUCCUUUCCGUACAUUAAAGGUGAAGUGGACCAUGGAAGUGCCUUGUCGGCUCCAUCCCCGCGCCCUCCCCAAAGCCCGGAGCUGCCUCCGCCUCCUCAUUCGUGUGGAAAACAGGGGGAGGGAGGAAAACUGCCUGGUGCGGGGCUCGCUCGCUGAGCAGGCCACCAGCAGCAAGCCCGCUCCUUCAGGUUAAUUAAUUCUUAUUAAUUACGUCCCUUGAAAUUUUCUCCGGAUCGGUGCUGCCCGCUGGGGUUUGUGAGGAGAGCUCGGCCUUCGCUUCCCGGGAAAUCAGAGCGGGAGCUGGUGCUGGAAGAGGCUUUCAGGCUGCAAUCUCGGCCAGGCUCUGGCUCUGUAAUAAAUCUUUUAACGGCUUUAUCGGCUUCCAAACAGAUUUGUUUAAUAAUUUAUUUAUUUUAUUUAUUUAUCGCCACCCAAAAGUGGAGCUGUUUAUCUGAGCGAGCCCCAGAUGUUUGGGAUGGCAAUGGAAUAGGGCUGGAUUAAGCUGGAGCCAAACCUCACCAGGAUUUUUGCCUGUUUCGCAUGGAAUUUGCAGCCUGGCUUGGCUCUGCCCCACUCCUGAUUCCCAGGAGAUUUCCAAUGUGAGCAUCUCCUUAUUUUGGCAAAUUCAAAGAUUUAAGAUUCAAAUGAUCCUUGAAUGCUUUAAUCUUGGAGGACUGUGCUCCUGCUUUUUCAAUUUUCCCCUUCUUUUGGGGAAAAAAAGGGGAAUAAUGAAGGAAGCUCAGCCAGGGCUCUUACAGCCAUGACAUCCUUCUUCCCUUCAUGGUGACAUUCCUGUCCUCUCCAUCGUGAUCUCCUACUCCCCUUCCACCACGGCAUCUCUGGAACAUCACAGCUCCAAGUGAUUUCCUUUCUGGGCCAACAACAAUUCCAGGAUUUAAUUUAUCCAUGAAAACCUGCAGCAGGAGUUCAGGAAAGAGGGAGGCUUUUCCCAGUUCCCUUUUCUCCUCCCUUCCAUCAGGCCUGGAAUGGGCCGUUAAUUCCAAAGUCCUUAUCUGCUGAGGUCAGGCCUUUGUUUUUUCUGGAAUUGUCUCCCAAAGCUGUUGGGAUUCCUUUCCCUGCCUCAUCCCUUGGGAUGAAUGAAUGAGCUUCUCUGUAGUCUGGGAAUUCGGCUUGGCUGGGCUUGGUGCUCCUUGUCCUGGUUUUACUCAAGGAUUGGCGGGAUGGAACCUUUUCUAUGGGAGAAGCCCAAGGAAUGAGUAACCUGUCUCCUUGAGCAAGGAUCCAGACAGGCUGGAUUCCACAAACCUUUUGGGAUUCGCUGGGAUUUGAACAAAUAAACCGCCGGUGCUGGAUGGAGACAAGCUGAGGAGAGGCCACGGACAAACUGGGAUUUUAAUGGGAAUAUCUACAAAUCACGGCUCACGUGGAAACUUCAAUCCCACUCUGCCUGUAAAAGAAAAGCUAAUUAAAAAUUCCCUAAUGAGCCCGGGCUCGGUGGCUGAGCAGAAGGGAAGCACCUCCGAGCGGCAAAUCCAUUGCCAAGGACAGAAAACCCUCCAAGUGCAACGUGUUACAAGGAAAAUGUCACUUUAUUGGAUGUUCCCUCGUCUCGCUAACGAGCUCUUGGGUUAAUUUUAGCUCUUCCGCUGCAUCUCAGCUCCGUUCUUUCUGGCAUCGUGGAUCUCAGCUCCCUCCUCGGUGGGAGUUUUCCCAUUAAAUCCCAGUGGGAACGGGG